GGUGGUGCAUGGUUGUCGUCAGCUCGUGUCGUGAGAUGUUGGGUUAAGUCCCGCAACGAGCGCAACCCUUAUCUUUAGUUGCCAUCAGGUUAAGCUGGGCACUCUAGAGAGACUGCCGGGGAUAACUCGGAGGAAGGUGGGGAUGACGUCAAAUCAUCAUGCCCCUUAUGUUCAGGGCUACACACGUGCUACAAUGGCCGAUACAAAGGGCAGCAAGAGAGUGAUCUUAAGCGAAUCCCAUAAAGUCGGUCCCAGUUCGGAUUGUGGGCUGAAACUCGCCCACAUGAAGCUGGAGUUGCUAGUAAUCGCGAAUCAGAAUGUCGCGGUGAAUGCGUUCCCGGGUCUUGUACACACCGCCCGUCACACCACGGGAGUCGGAAGCGCCCGAAGCCAGCUACUUAACCGUAAGGAGAGAGCUGUCGAAGGUGAAGUCGAUGACUGGGGUGAAGUCGUAACAAGGUAGCCGUAUCGGAAGGUGCGGCUGGAUCACCU
rnacentral:rRNA from 1 species